rnacentral:rRNA from 1 species
UACGUAGGGUGCGAGCGUUAAUCGGAAUUACUGGGCGUAAAGCGUGCGCAGGCGGUUUGUUAAGUCAGAUGUGAAAUCCCCGGGCUUAACCUGGGAACUGCAUUUGUGACUGGCAAGCUAGAGUAUGGCAGAGGGGGGUAGAAUUCCUCGUGUAGCAGUGAAAUGCGUAGAGAUGUGGAGGAAUACCGAUGGCGAAGGCAGCCCCCUGGGCCAAUACUGACGCUCAUGCACGAAAGCGUGGGGAGCAAACAGG